GGGUCUUUAGCUCGAAGGCCGAGCAGGCGGCUCAUGACCGCUAGGUGUGGGUUCGAUUCCCACAAGACCCA
rnacentral:tRNA from 1 species